GCACCGCGCCGCCCGCGCGCGCCUCCUCCAACCCCCGUCGCGCCCCCGCGAGGCUCGACAACGUCAAGGGCCUCGGCG
rnacentral:tRNA from 1 species